rnacentral:rRNA from 1 species
GCCAGACUCCUACGGGAGGCAGCAGUGAGGAAUAUUGGUCAAUGGUCGGGAGACUGAACCAGCCAAGCCGCGUGAGGGAUGAAGGUACAGAGUAUCGUAAACCUCUUUUGUCAGGGAACAAAGGCGGGGACGUGUCCCCGGAUGAGUGUACCUGAAGAAAAAGCAUCGGCUAACUCCGUGCCAGCAGCCGCGGUAAUACGGAGGAUGCGAGCGUUAUCCGGAUUUAUUGGGUUUAAAGGGUGCGCAGGCGGUUUGUUAAGGCGGCGCAAAAGCCCCGGGGCUCACCCGUGGCCCGCCGUUGAAACUGGCAGUCUCGAGUUGGAGAGAAGUAUGCGGAAUGCGCGGUGUAGCGGUGAAAUGCAUAGAUAUCGCGCAGAACUCCGAUUGCGAAGGCAGCAUGCCGGCUCCACACUGACGCUGAGGCACGAAAGCGUGGGUAUCGAACAGGAUUAGAUACCCCCGUA